GCCAUGAUGAUCACUUAUGGGUUUGAUCUGUGAUGAAACUAAACCUCUGAAUCCUCUAAGAAGUUCUGAGCUC
ensembl:snoRNA